UGAGCACUCACAAAGAGCUGAGUAUUUGAGACUUUGAGAGUCACAGGAUAUUUAGAGUCGUCUCCUCCCGAUGAGUAGGCAUACAUGUCAAAUUUUACUGUCAAAGAAAGAGCCAAGAAGAAACAUGACUCAGAGUUUGCUGGAGGAGGCGGUGUGGUUCUCCCCUUGCCUUCCCAGACCUCCUUGGGUGAGGUCAGAGUCAGGCCAGGAUCCAAAAGUGAGAGAAAACCUGCAGGAUUUGUGUUUCUAAGGCUGGUUAUUUCACUGACAACAUUGAUCUCCAGGAGGACCCAUUUUCUAACAAAUGACAUAACCUUAUUCUUUGUUAUGGCUUCACUAAAAUGGUAAAUCACGUUUUCUUAUUUACUUGUUUGUUUUGCUGACACGCAGGCUGAUUCCAUAACUUACUUACUUUAAAUUGUACUGCAAUAAAUAUGGAUAUUUUGGCAUUUGAAUCCUUUGGAUAUAUAUGUAUAUAUAUAUACAUAUAUAUACACACACACACACACAUAUAUAUAUAUAUAUAUAUAUAUAUCCCAAAAUAAAUAAUGAGUCAAUAAAGGACCAUAUGGUACUUUUAUUUUCAUCCUUUUGAGGAACUGACUGACUUUCAUGGUGGCAAGGCUAAUUUAUGAGUGAAUGUGUGUGUGUGUGUGUGUGUGUGUGUGUGUGUUUGUGUGUGAAUCAGUGAUGUGUGUGUGAGAGAGAAUCAGUGAGGAUGCACCGUGUAUGUAGUGGUCAGAGGACUGCUUCUCAGAACUCAGGUCGCUCCUCAGAAUUUGUCCCUGAAGCAGGGUCUCAAAAGCACUUCUUGUUUUUGCUGCUGGGCUGCACACCGUACUUCCCACUGUGGCUUGGAAGUGCCGGGAUUACAGCUGUGCACCACUACAUGUGUUUAUUUAUUUAACCCGUGCUCUGGGAUUGAACUCAGACUAUCAGGCUGUUGUGUUCUACUUUUACCCACGGAGCCACCUCUCCAAUCUAUAUUAAACAAAACUUUCAAAGUUUUAUCUUAUUAAGAUAUACUGCUAGUAAAAUGAACACUUGUAAAUUACUAUUCUUUUAUUCAAUUGUGUAGUAAAAUGGUAAAAAAAUGGUUGUUAGAACCAAACAUGAUUGGCAAGAAAAAGAAAGAAAAGGGCAACAAAAAAUUCUUAAUGAUUUUCUGCUAAACAAAUAGAUCAGUGCCUAGCAUGGGAGCAGAUGCGGAGAUCCACAGCCAAACACUAGAUGGAGCUCAGGGAACCCCAAAAAAGAGGGGGAGGAAGGAGCCAGAGGGGUGGAAGGACAUCGGAGGACUCAGUCUGCAGAAUCCACCUUAGGGAUCUAAGGGCUCACAGAGACCGGAGCAGCAAUCCUGGAGCCUGCACGGGUGUGCGAGCUCCUCUGCAUGCACGUUCGGUUGUGGAGCGAGGUUAGGGUAUGGAGUGUAGUUGGGUUCUUGUAGCACUCCUAACGGUCAGAACAAGGGUUGUCUCUGACUCUUUUGCCUGCUCUUGAGACUCUCUCCGCCUCCCAUGUGGUCUCCUGCAGUCUGACACAAGGGCUUGUGCUUGACUUUGUGGUAGCCUGUUGUGCCAUGGUUCAGUUGGUAUCACUAGGAGGCCUGCUCUUUUCUGAAGGGAAACAAAAACAAUGGAUCUGGGAGAGCGGGAAGGGAAGUGGAAGGGCUGGGCCGAGUGGACGAGGGCAAACUGCCGUCAAGGCAAAUUAUAUGACAGAAGAAUAAAUGAGAAGAAAGAAAUUUGGUUGGGAUUAAAGAAAAUAAAGUAAAUUGCAAAUUUAAUAACUAAUGCUGGUUUUCUUGCAAGCUAGUAAACCUACUUGUGGUAGUUUACUUAACUGAGUAAAUGGAAAAGGCCUUUCCAUUGUCUUACGCCCAGGUUGUCUUACGUAAUUGUUGUAAAGAUCAGAAAAUUGGAAUUAAGGACUCUUAAAAACUUCAAAUUGGUAUAUUAAAGGCACUAAGGUGACUUUUUAAAGAAAAAAAAUGAUUGCUUCAAACUUGAGAUCUUUUUAAAAAUAGAAUUUUAAGCUUACAUAAAAAUAUAACAAAGUAU